AGCAGCCGCGGUAAUUCCAGCUCCAAUAGCGUAUAUUAAAGUUGUUGCAGUUAAAAAGCUCGUAGUUGAAUUUCGGGGUUAGUAGGUUGGUCGUGCCACCGGUAUGUACUGGCUCUACUGAUCCCUCCUUCUUGUAGAACCGUAAUGCCAUUAACUUGGUGUUGCGGGGAAACAGGACUGUUACUUUGAAAAAAUUAGAGUGUUUAAAGCAAGCUAACGCUUGAAUACAUUAGCAUGGAAUAAUGAAAUAGGACGCUCGAUCCUAUUUUGUUGGUUUCUAGGAUUGACGUAAUGAUUAAUAGGGAUAGUUGGGGGCAUUAGUAUUCAAUUGUCAGAGGUGAAAUUCUUGGAUUUAUUGAAGACUAACUACUGCGAAAGCAUUUGCCAAGGAUGUUUUCAUUAAUCAAGAACGAAAGUUAGGGGAUCGAAGACGAUCAGAUACCGUCGUAG
rnacentral:rRNA from 1 species